GAUGAACGCUGGCGGCGUGCUUAACACAUGCAAGUCGAACGAUGAAGCCCAGCUUGCUGGGUGGAUUAGUGGCGAACGGGUGAGUAACACGUGAGUAACCUGCCCUUAACUCUGGGAUAAGCCUGGGAAACUGGGUCUAAUACCGGAUAGGAGCGUCCACCGCAUGGUGGGUGUUGGAAAGAUUUAUCGGUUUUGGAUGGACUCGCGGCCUAUCAGCUUGUUGGUGAGGUAAUGGCUCACCAAGGCGACGACGGGUAGCCGGCCUGAGAGGGUGACCGGCCACACUGGGACUGAGACACGGCCCAGACUCCUACGGGAGGCAGCAGUGGGGAAUAUUGCACAAUGGGCGCAAGCCUGAUGCAGCGACGCCGCGUGCGGGAUGACGGCCUUCGGGUUGUAAACCUCUUUCAGUAGGGAAGAAGCGAAAGUGACGGUACCUGCAGAAGAAGCACCGGCUAACUACGUG
rnacentral:rRNA from 1 species